GAGAGAGAGAGAGAGAGAGAGAGUUUUAUUUACUUUCUAUUGGAGUUGCUUCUAUGAAUCCCUUUAAACUAAUUGAGAUCAGUUACAUGUAUCUAUCUUUGCUAGUUUGCCUUCUUAAAGGCCAUACAUCAAACGCUUAUCUGUUUAUCAUAUCUGUCUCAGUGAUAGUGGUUCCAUCUAAAGUUCACAGAAUCUCUUUCAUUUGCUUGUAAUGCUUUGAAUGGAAUUAUUUAGGCUAUCCUGUGUAUAUCCACUUUAGUAAAAUGACUCUAGGCUAUCCUGUGUAAUGCUUGGACUGUAUGUAUUUGUUGAUGUUGAUGAUUAAUGAAGCUUCAGUCACCUCCCUUUAAGAUUUAUGGAUUUAUUCAUUUUGAGGAAAAAUGAGCCUUGCUAGACCUUGUAAAUUCUUAUUGUUUCCUGUUGUGACCUAGGCAACUGCCUGGGAAUACCAACGACCUAGGGCAUUAGGACAUCACUUGGGUGAGACUUUCCUACACAUAAACAGGUUUCAAAUGCAUCAAUUGUGUCUUUUAUAAUUUACUUACCAUUAAAUACUCCAGCUUGAAGUACUAAAUGCUUUCUUUUUUUGUAAGUUGGUCAAGUUGGUGUUCAAUAUAAAAUAUGUAUUUCCCUAUGUUUUAUCAACAAUAUUCUCAUGUACAAAUUUGGAAUUCCACAGGCAAGUCUCUAUAGAGGAAAGGAGAAGCCAAAGCUCAUGAGCUUAAUGUAAUGUUUAUUGAAACCAGUGCAAAAGCUGGCUUUAAUAUAAAGGCACUGUUUUGGAAAAUUGCUGCUGCUUUACCAGGAAUGGAAACACUCUCUUCAACAAAGCAAGAAGACAUGGUUGAUGUGAACUUGAAGUCUACUAGUGGUGGCGCAACACAAUCCCAGCCCCAGUCAGGUGGAUGCUCUUGUAGAUUGCGGCAUUGUUUUAAAAUUUCGAGCAACUAUGCUCUAUUUCUUGCUGUUUGGGUUUUCAGCCAUCUUCGCCCCAGAUCUGUAAAGGUUUCACUUAGAUUCUUUUUUCCUUCAAAAUACUUCUUAUCGGUUAUAAUCUUUUACUGCAUUGCUUGGGAAAUUCUCUUAGGGAACACAUGGGUCUGAAGAGCUAGGUGUAGAACUAGCAUUGGGGAAUUUGUUGUGUUGGUUAAAUGGUCAUAACCUCUGAGAUAUUUAGUAAGAUUUACUGGCUUGAAUAGAUUUUGGUAUUAAGCAUUUGUAAAAUGAAUAUUGGGUACAUUCUGCACU